UGGUGUGAAGGCGAUCUGAUUGCAGUAUCUGUCACCUCACUGAUGGCCAAGGUUGAUUCAGCUGAUCUGGCUGGCUAGGCAGGUGACCCUUCCUUCCUCGCCUCUCCAUAUGUGUCCCUCCUGAAGCCACACACUUGGUCAAAAAGGACGACCAUCUACGAUAGAGGAGGACUGGUCUUUUUGGGUCAAGGGUAUACAAGUAGCUGUGCUCCCCUGCUAGAACCUCCAAACAAGCUCUCAAAGUAAUUAUGGCUGAAUUGCUUGGUUUCAAGUUAAUUUUAGUAGAAGGACAAUCUGAAUAUAACCACUUAUACACCUUA
rnacentral:snRNA from 1 species